GGUUCACCCCCAAGAGAAUCCAGACUCCUCCUUGCCCAGUGAAGGUUCUUGUAAGUGGAUUCAUACCACGUAGCUCCUCUGGAAGCAAGGUCAACUCCAGGUCAACUAGAUCCUGGUCUUCUGUUUCGCUCUGCGAAGGCUGCAGCAAUGGAGCUGUGCUGUCUGUCAACACCCUCAAGGGAUGGAAUUCUGUGAGUCAAGAACCCAACAGGAGCUCAAAUGUGGAGUGUGAUGGAACAGAUUCUAAAAGGAAGAUGAGAAUCCUUAACUGUAUAUUUCCUAGAAAAUUUUUGAUAAGAAAUACUUGGAAGGCUGAGGUAAAUGAAGCAUCAUAGUUUCGAGGUCAGCCCAAACUAACACAGGAAAAUCCUGUCUCAAAACAUCGGAAAAAAGAGCCUGGCAGUUGUGGUGCACACCUUUUGUCCCAGCACUCAGGAGGCAGAGGCAGGUCCCGAGCCUUCACUCAGUAUCUGAUGGAAGCAGAAGCAGACACCCACAACAAAACACUGAGCCGAACUCCUGGAAUACAGUUGUUGAGAGGGAGGAGUGACGAACAAAGGAAUUAAUCCAUUUCUGCUGCCCACCACCAUAUGUUUUCCUCGUCACUUACGGUCUUUCCUGGAAUUCUGUGCACAUCAGAGUAUAAGUCAUACAAGAACUAGAGGUGAGAGCACUGGCUUGAGUCCCAGUUUACCAAGCACAUGCUGCUGAAAGCACAACAGUGGGCAGAGGACUGUGACAGCUCGCUCUCUGAAGUCGGUGUGUAUGGAAAUGUCUAGACUAAUUCUGUUGUUGAUGUCUCUCCUUGAUGUGUUGAGUCAUAAAGAUUAUAGUUGAAAUUGGAAUCAUUGCUUCUGGAUUUAAAAACAACUACUCGGGAAGCUGUUGAACUCGGUGAGUUUGAGAACAGCCUGGUCUACAGAGUGAGUUCCAGGACAGCCGGGGCUACACAGCGAAACCCUGUUUUGAAGAGAAAAAAAGAUUAGAGUGAGUCAUCCAUCUGCGUCUCCAGCCACUUCUCCAUGGCUUUGACAGGAUCCCAGAACCGAAACAGCAGAGUCACCAUGGACACAAAUGACUGAUGAUCCAAAUGCAAGCCCAGGAGCCUGAAAUCAUUUCUCUUUGAAACUGCAGAGAAAGAGGCCAAGGCUAGAAAGGAAGAUCAGGAAUAGGCAGCAAGCCACAUCCGAGAUGGUGUGGAAGACACUGCUGGAAAAUGCUAACUGCAAGUGAAGGAGGCAAACUGUGUGACAUUUGAGAAGGAAGUCUGUUAUACAUCAAACACUAUUUUGAGGACAUCACUGAGCUCUGGAAAUUGGAUCAUUUCUUUAUUUCUAAUGCUGGCAUCUAGUAAUACCCCAAAGUGAAAAUCAU
rnacentral:lncRNA from 1 species